UAACCGCGCUGUGAUGUCGGCGUAAUCCUCUGCAUUCGAGGUCACCCCCGAGGCUCGGGGUGCUGCGGUGUGCUCAGGUCCAAGCUGGCGGUGAGGCAGCUCGGAUGCCAGGGCAGGUGUCAUCUGCCUACUGUCACACCUGCCUACAGCCAGCAUCGCGGCCUUCCCAGCACUGAGCAGCGAUAGAUUUACAGAGCAGAGGCAGAAGAGCCCAGAAAGGAAGACAUCCUAGCUUUGCAUAUCAGAAGCGGGUCUUGAUCCUCCUGCCCAGAAUGAGCCAGUCUUGGCGGUGAUACCACCUCUAGAAGCCACCACAGACUAUGUUUGGCCCAGCUUUGAGAGGAGCAAGAUGCUGUGCUGCUCUGCACGUUUACCACCUGUGACCAUCGUGAUUUAAUCCUAACAUCACAGAAUCCCAGAAUGACGGUUCAUGAAGGAUUUUCCAGGGUUGUUUACUUCUGAUUCUUUUGAAAGCUUUAAAGGCAUUGGUUGUGAAAGGUUCAGUGACUUUUCAAGGACUCUUGGUUUGUGACAGCCAGGGGGGAAACACAGUGAGUUCACUAUCACAGCUUAUCCUUCACAGUUCUCUACACUCUCCCAAGAGCCACAGAAAAUGAACACAUCUCAGGUGAGCUCUCUAUUUAUCACCCACUUGUACUGUCAUGGAUUGAUGAGGUUUA